rnacentral:rRNA from 1 species
AAUGGAUAGUACAAAGGGUCGCGAAGCCGCGAGGUGGAGCUAAUCCCAUAAAACUAUUCUCAGUUCGGAUUGUAGGCUGCAACUCGCCUACAUGAAGCCGGAAUCGCUAGUAAUCGUGGAUCAGCAUGCCACGGUGAAUACGUUCCCGGGCCUUGUACACACCGCCCGUCACACCACGAGAGUUUGUAACACCCGAAGUCGGUAGGGUAACCUUUAUGGAGCCAGCCGCCGAAGGUGGGACAGAUAAUUGGGGUGAAGUCGUAACAAGGUAGCCGUAUCGGAAGGUGCGGCUGGAUCACCUCCUUUCUAAGGAA